GCGGGAAUAGCUCAGUUGGUAGAGCACAACCUUGCCANGUUGGGGUCGCGAGUUCGAGUCUCGUUUCCCGCUCCA
rnacentral:tRNA from 1 species